rnacentral:rRNA from 1 species
UACGGAGGGUGCAAACGUUGCUCGGAAUCAUUGGGCGUAAAGCGCACGUAGGCGGCCUGUUAAGUCGGGUGUGAAAGCCCUGGGCUCAACCCAGGAAGUGCACACGAAACUGGCGGGCUUGAAUAUGGAAGAGGGUCGCGGAAUUCCCGGUGUAGAGGUGAAAUUCGUAGAUAUCGGGAGGAACACCAGUGGCGAAGGCGGCG